rnacentral:rRNA from 1 species
CCCGGUAGCUAAAUGCGGAAGAGAUAAGUGCUGAAAGCAUCUAAGCACGAAACUUGCCCCGAGAUGAGUUCUCCCUGAGACUUUAAGUCUCCUGAAGGAACGUUAAAGACGAUGACGUUGAUAGGCCGGGUGUGUAAGCGCAGCGAUGCGUUGAGCUAACCGGUACUAAUGAACCGUGAGGCUUAACCUUACAACGCCGAAG